AGGAAAUUUUGCUCUUUUAGUAUUUGUCUAGCAAGUCUUCAGAAGUUGAAAACACCC
rnacentral:snRNA from 1 species